rnacentral:pre_miRNA from 1 species
GAUAUCAACUGAAAAAGUCAUCAACAACAAAGUUGAAUAACUCAUCAAGAUCUAAAACUUUUAUUUUGGUCAUUUCUUCAUACAACAAAGUGAUAGUAACAUUGUUCACAAAAUUGACAUAUCUCUUAUCUGGUUUUAUAAACUAUAACACAUAUAUGUAAAAUUUGUGAAUAAUAUUACUAACAUUUCGUCAGAUGAAGAAAAAACAAAAAUAAAAUUUUUAGAUCUUGAUGAGUUAUUCAACUUUGUUGUUGAUGACUUUUUCAAUUGAAAUC